rnacentral:rRNA from 1 species
AUAGAUACCCUGGUAGUCCACGCCGUAAACGAUGGAUGCUAGCAGUACAGCGUAUCGACCCGCUGUGUUGCGAAGCUAACGCGUUAAGCAUCCCGCCUGUGGAGUACGAGCGCAAGCUUAAAACAUAAAGGAAUUGACGGGGACCCGCACAAGCGGUGGAGCGUGUUGUUUAAUUCGAUGAUAAGCGAAGAACCUUACCCAGGCUUGACAUCCUGCGAAUUUCUCCGAAAGGAGAGAGUGCUUUUAGAACGCAGUGACAGGUACUGCAUGGCCGUCGUCAGCUCGUGUCGUGAGAUGUUUGGUUAAGUCCAUCAACGAGCGCAACCCUUGUAAGUAGUUGAAUUUUUCUACUUAGACUGCCUCGGUAACGGGGAGGAAGGAGGGGAUGAUGUCAGGUCAGUAUUGUCCUUACGUCUGGGGCCACAAACACGCUACAAUGGCCGGUACAAAGGGCAGCCAACCCGGCGAGGGGGAGCAAAUCCCAUCAAAGCCGGUCUCAGUUCGGAUGCAGGCUGAAACUCGCUGCUUG